rnacentral:rRNA from 1 species
ACUUCGUCAGGGAAGAAACGGUGAAGGCUAAUAUCCUUUGCUAAUGACGGUACCUGAAGAAUAAGGACCGGGCUAACUACGUGCCAGCAGCCGCGGUAAUACGUAGGGUCCAAGCGUUAAUCGGAAUUACUGGGCGUAAAGCGUGCGCAGGCGGUUGUGUAAGUCAGAUGUGAAAUCCCCGGGCUCAACCUGGGAAUUGCAUUUGAGACUGCACGGCUAGAGUGUGGCAGAGGGGGGUGGAAUUCCACGUGUAGCAGUGAAAUGCGUAGAGAUGUGGAGGAACACCGAUGGCGAAGGCAGCCCCCUGGGCUAACACUGACGCUCAUGCACGAAAGCGUGGGGAGCAAACAGGAUUAGAUACCCUGGUAGUCCACGCCCUAAACUAUGUCAACUGGUUGUCGGGGAAGCAAUUCCUUGGUAACGAAGCUAACGCGUGAAGUUGACCGCCUGGGGAGUACGGCCGCAAGGUUAAAACUCAAAGGAAUUGACGGGGACCCGCACAAGCGGUGGAUUAUGUGGAUUAAUUCGAUGCAACGCGAAAAACCUUACCUACCCUUGACAUGUACGGAACCCUUCAGAGAUGGAGGGGUGCCCGAAAGGGAGCCGUAACACAGGUGCUGCAUGGCUGUCGUCAGCUCGUGUCGUGAGAUGUUGGGUUAAGUCCCGCAACGAGCGCAACCCUUGUCAUUAGUUGCUACAUUUAGUUGGGCACUCUAAUGAGACUGCCGGUGACAAACCGGAGGAAGGUGGGGAUGACGUCAAGUCCUCAUGGCCCUUAUGGGUAGGGCUUCACACGUAAUACAAUGGUCGGUACAGAGGGUUGCCAACCCGCGAGGGGGAGCUAAUCCCAGAAAGCCGAUCGUAGUCCGGAUUGUUCUCUGCAACUCGAGAGCAUGAAGCCGGAAUCGCUAGUAAUCGCGGAUCAGCAUGUCGCGGUGAAUACGUUCCCGGGUCUUGUACACACCGCCCGUCACACCAUGGGAGUGGGUUUCACCAGAAGUAAUUAGCCUAACCGCAAGGAGGGCGACUACCACGG